rnacentral:rRNA from 1 species
AACGAACGCUGGCGGCGUGGAUAAGACAUGCAAGUCGAACGCUGAUUACAGGGUAGCAAUAUUCUGUAGUCGGAGUGGCGCAAGGGUGCGUAACACGUGGGUAAUCUACCGCGAAGUUUGGGAUAACUCGCUGAAAGGCGAGCUAAUACCGGAUGUGAAAAUCGGAAGGCAUCUUCUGAUUUUCAAAGUUGGGGACCGUAAGGCCUGACGCUUCACGAUGAACCCGCGGCCUAUCAGCUAGUUGGUGAGGUAACGGCUCACCAAGGCUAAGACGGGUAGCUGGUCUGAGAGGACGACCAGCCACACUGGAACUGAGACACGGUCCAGACACCUACGGGUGGCAGCAGUCGAGAAUUUUUCACAAUGGGGGAAACCCUGAUGGAGCGACGCCGCGUGGGGGAUGAAUGGCUUCGGCCCGUAAACCCCUGUCAUUCGCGAACAAUGCUCACGGUAUAACACAUCGUGAGUUGAUAGUAGCGGAAGAGGAAGGGACGGCUAACUCUGUGCCAGCAGCCGCAGUAAAAC